rnacentral:rRNA from 1 species
AGAUUGAACGCUGGCGGCAUGCCUAACACAUGCAAGUCGAACGGGAGUAGCAAUACUCUAGUGGCAGACGGGUGAGGAAUACGUAGGAAUUUGCCCUUAAGUGGGGGAUAACCCGGGGAAACCCGGAUUAAUACCGCAUGACCUCGAAAGAGCAAAGUGGGGGAUCGCAAGACCUCACGCUUUUGGAGAAGCCUACGUCGGAUUAGCUAGUUGGUGAGGUAAUGGCUCACCAAGGCGACGAUCCGUAACUGGUCUGAGAGGAUGAUCAGUCACACCGGAACUGAGACACGGUCCGGACUCCGUACGGGAGGCGAGUCAGGUGGGGAAUUAGUUGGACAAGUGGGACGCAAGCCGUGACUCCAGCAAGU